AUUGAACGCUGGCGGCAGGCCUAACACAUGCAAGUCGAGCGGAUGAGGGAAGCUUGCUUCCCGAUUUAGCGGCGGACGGGUGAGUAAUGCCUAGGAAUCUGCCUAUUAGUGGGGGAUAACGUUCCGAAAGGAACGCUAAUACCGCAUACGUCCUACGGGAGAAAGUGGGGGAUCUUCGGACCUCACGCUAACAGAUGAGCCUAGGUCGGAUUAGCUAGUAGGUGAGGUAAUGGCUCACCUAGGCGACGAUCCGUAACUGGUCUGAGAGGAUGAUCAGUCACACUGGAACUGAGACACGGUCCAGACUCCUACGGGAGGCAGCAGUGGGGAAUAUUGGACAAUGGGCGAAAGCCUGAUCCAGCCAUGCCGCGUGUGUGAAGAAGGUCUUCGGAUUGUAAAGCACUUUAAGUUGGGAGGAAGGGUAUUCACCUAAUACGUGGGUACUUUGACGUUACCAACAGAAUAAGCACCGGCUAACUCUGUGCCAGCAGCCGCCGUAAUAC
rnacentral:rRNA from 1 species